CCCACAAAAACUCCAAAUAAAGGGGUUCCAAGAGCUGCUAGGUUGGUGAACACAUGGAGGUGCGGGGAGGGUGGCGAGCCCAGCGAGGACGUGGAUUCCCCACGGCCCUUCCCACAUACCCCGUUCUUUCAUUUGGCUGUUUCUGAGUUGUGUGCUUUAUAAUCAACUGACAAUGUUCCAGCUCUUGAAGACGACAUAAUCCUUCAUGCCUUAGUCUUCACAUAUGUUGAACCCUCUGACCAGAUAUCUGUUCCUUAUUUCUCUGCCUGUUCAACAGUCGCAAUUCACCUCCAAUGAUUACUGUCUGAAGUCAUUCUUCAGAAUUCAACUCUUCUUUAUUGGUCUCUUACUGUGGCACGUGUUAGGAGAAAUACUAGAAAAUUCCCUUGAAGACUAGCUGGCAUGCCCCAACAGGAAACUUGACAAAGUUUCCUUAGUAAUGACUUCUGAAGGCCAUUUUGCUCUAAAUAUAUACUUUAAAUAAAUUAUCCCUUUGUCUUGUCAGAAUCAUUUGUAUGGUCAGAAUCAUUUGAAUAUUUAGAUAUAAUGAAUUUAAUGAUCCAUAAGAGCAUUUGUUAUAUGAUAUAAUAAUCACUAAGUAUUAAGUUUGCUGUAUUUGAAGUAUUUGAAUUUUAUUAUAGGCUUGAGUGAUGUUAGCCUCACAGGUGA
rnacentral:lncRNA from 1 species